rnacentral:ncRNA from 1 species
UUAUUUUAUUUUGGUUAAUAAUUUUAUUAUUAUUUUAUUUUACAUGUAAAUUUUUGUAUGAAUUAAUUUAAUUUUUAAAAGAUUAAAUGGAUUUUAUUUAUUCGCAGUAAUUAAUAUUAAUUAAAAAAAGAAAUUUUGUGUUAGUAAUAAUAUAUAGUAUUGGUAAAAUUUGUGCCAGCUACCGCGGUUAUACAAAUAAUGCAAGUAAAAUUUUUUAGUAUUAGUUAAAUUAAAAAAUUUAAUAAUAUAAAUAUAAAUUUAUUAGGUGAAAUUUUUAAAUUUAUUUAUUUAUUAUUUAAAAAAUUAAUUUAAGCUAUAAACUUUUUAUAAUAAACUAGGAUUAGAUACCCUAUUAUUGAAAAUAAAUAUUUAAAUGCUAAAGUAGUAUUAGUUAUAUUCUUAAAAUUUAAAAAAUUUGGCGGUGUUUUAGUCUAUUUAGAGGAAUCUGUCCUGUAAUUGAUAAUCCACAUUGAACCUUACUUAAAUUUGUUUAAUUUAUAUAUCGCCGUCAUCAGAAUAUGUUAUAAGAUGAAAAUUUUCUUAAUAUUUAAUUAAAUAAAAUGUCAGGUCAAGGUGUAGUUUAUAUUUAAGUAGAGAUGGAUUACAAUAAAUUUAUUUAAACGGAUAAUUUUUUGAAAUAGAAAUUUGAAGGUGGAUUUAAUAGUAAUAUAAAAUAGAUUAUUUAUAUGAUUUUAGCUCUAAAACAUGUACAUAUCGCCCAUCGUUCUUAUUUUUAAAAUAAGAUAAGUUGUAACAUAGUAGAUGUACUGGAAAGUGUAUCUAGAAAGA